CCUACGGGAGGCAGCAGUAGGGAAUAUUGCUCAAUGGGGGAAACCCUGAAGCAGCAACGCCGCGUGGAGGAUGAAGGUUUUCGGAUUGUAAACUCCUUUUGUUAGAGAAGAUAAUGACGGUAUCUAACGAAUAAGCACCGGCUAACUCCGUGCCAGCAGCCGCGGUAAUACGGAGGGUGCAAGCGUUACUCGGAAUCACUGGGCGUAAAGAGCGCGUAGGCGGGAUAGCAAGGCAGAUGUGAAAUCCUAUGGCUUAACCAUAAAACUGCAUUUGAAACUGUUAUUCUAGAGUAUGGGAGAGGUAGGUGGAAUUCUUGGUGUAGGGGUAAAAUGCGUAGAGAUCAAGAGGAAUACUCAUUGCGAAGGCGACCUGCUAGAACAUAACUGACGCUGAUGCGCGAAAGCGUGGGGAGCAAACAGGAUUAGAUACCCCUGUAGUC
rnacentral:rRNA from 1 species